UAUCAACUUUGACUGUUUUAGUGUAUUUAUAUAAAAAAGAGAAAUGUUUGAACACUUUAAGCAUAAUUUUCGCGUUUUUUCCCGCGUUUUCUGCGCUAAAUAAAAGUUGUCUUACAUGAAACAAUUGGUUCUUCUUGAUGUGUUGAUUUCAGUACGGUCAUUUCAACAUCAUUCUGCGGGAUUUUAUAAUUAAGAGGCAAAGCGGGGAGCCAGCAAGGAAGAAAAUUGUGCAAGUCUUUCCCGCGAACCCCUUUUGGAGAUGCUGGGGAAAUACUGCUAGACCUACUUACAGAAACGAGGCUAUGACGAAAUGCUGCGAAAUCUUGGUAACAAUAUUAUAAAUCAGGAUCAGGAUUCCAUAUACGCGCUCCAAAAGCGAGAUUUCCCAGAUGUUGUUGCGCCAUAUUUUCGGUGCGAUGAAGAUUCGACGACCGACAGAAUGAGCCUGCAGUAUGACUCAAAGCGUUCGGGUCUUCAUUCUGUGGUGAAAGGAAGUACAUCGAGAACAACGUGCGCGCAAGUAUGACUGGCUCGGAAAUCCCCACCCGCCGGGCGUCCGCUUGAUCGCGGCGUGGGAGGGGUGUAUUCGGUGCUCCGGGACCGGAUAUUCCGGUUGCAGCGGGAGCUGGGCAAUGAGCGGCGGCGGAGCGACGCCUUCUACCGGACCUUCCUCCCAAAAGCCGCCAUCGAUCUGGUGUAUCGAGACAUGUCGCCGAAUGGAG